UACACCCUUUCUUUGAAGGUUUCUAGUACAAACAUGUCACCCUUGGGUUCUCUCUGUGGCUGUAUGGCAGCUUCUUACAAACAAGUCUUGCAUGGCCUGGUCUUCUGCCUUUAGUCUGAGCAAUAUUUGGAGAAGGGUCCUUCUGCUCAUCUUCCGGAAGAUCUGUCUCAGAAUUAGUGUGAAAAGAUUUUGCCACAUCUGGGCCCCUUAAGACAUCAACAACGAUCUCAGAGACUGUCAAGGGAGAAGAGGAGCAGCUUGAGUGAGCACGGUUUCUUGAGUAUGUGGAGGGGGAGAAUGAAGUUAUUGUUAUCUGCUGUGACACCUAGAGCAGCCUGCCCACCACCAACGACGACUGUCCGUGGCAAGAGUCUGGGAUCAAUUAAGGAAAAGUGAACUUCUAACCUAUGUGAACUGUCACGGUGGAGUCCUGGCCUGGCUGAUCUUCGAGUUUCCAGAGGUUAAUGACAGCACUCCACAGCUGACAAGAACCUCCCCUCUUUUCUACCUCCACUGACUAAACUCUGCCCUCUGAAGCCCCAGAGGGAGAAAGUUCGCUUUCCCCUUAUUUCUAGAGUAGAAAAAAAAGAAAAGAUAAAUAUAGUCUUGUUCGAGAAGGAACCUCCCUUAUCUAGAGCAGUGGCUGAUACGUAAUGGGUGCUCAAUAUAUUUUUAUCAACUAUUAAUAUAAAAUAAACCCUAAGAGGAGUUCA
rnacentral:lncRNA from 1 species